AUGCGAUAAGUAAUGUGAAUUGCAGAAUUCCGUGAAUCAUCGAAUCUUUGAACGCACAUUGCGCCCUCUGGUAUUCCGGGGGGCAUGCCUGUCCGAGCGUCAUUUUCACCCCCUCAAGCACGGCUUGUGUGUUGGGCUAUCGUCCCCACGCCUCCCUGGAGGUCUAGAGUGGGACGGGCCUGAAAGGCAGUGACGGCGCGGUUCGAUCCUCGCAAGCGUAUGGGGCUUUGUCACACGCUUUAGCGAUACGUACCGACGCCUGUCCAUCUCCUUAAUAUACUUCUCAGGUUGACCUCGGAUCAGGUAGGGAUACCCGCUGAACUUAA
rnacentral:misc_RNA from 1 species